rnacentral:rRNA from 1 species
AUUGAACGCUGGCGGCAUGCCUUACACAUGCAAGUCGAACGGUAACAGGUCUUCGGAUGCUGAUGAGUGGCGAACGGGUGAGUAAUACAUCGGAACGUGCCUAGUAGUGGGGGAUAACUACUCGAAAGAGUGGCUAAUACCGCAUGAGAUCUACGGAUGAAAGCAGGGGAUCGCAAGACCUUGUGCUACUAGAGCGGCCGAUGGCAGAUUAGGUAGUUGGUGGGAUAAAAGCUUACCAAGCCGACGAUCUGUAGCUGGUCUGAGAGGACGAUCAGCCACCCUGGGACUGAGACACGGCCCAGACUCCUACGGGAGGCAGCAGUGGGGAAUUUUGGACAAUGGGCGCAAGCCUGAUCAAGCAAUGCCGCGUGCAGGAUGAAGGCCUUCGGGUUGUAAACUGCUUUUGUACGGAACGAAAAGCCCUGGGUUAAUACCCUGGGGUCAUGACGGUACCGUAAGAAUAAGCACCGGCUAACUACGUGCCAGCCGCCGCCGUAAUAC